UUAGUAUUCCCUCCGUCCGAAAAAGCUUAUCCCUUAAAUGGAUGUAUCUGGCAUCAAGUUAAUGCUGGAUACAUUCAUUUGAGGAACAAGCUUGGUACAAGCUUUUUCGGACGGAGGGAGUAUUAU
rfam:Triticum aestivum genome assembly, contig: Triticum_aestivum_CS42_TGACv1_scaffold_000066_1AL